rnacentral:lncRNA from 1 species
UAGUCUCGAUCAUCCAGCCGCUUUAUUUUUCAAAGUAGAGCGUCUGGAUGACAAGUGAUAUAAAAAUGGUAAUUUAUGACAUUCGGAAUAGUAUCGGAUUUUUUAGCUUGUAUUUAAAGAUAAUGUCCAAGACGAAUAACCAAGAAGUUGGUUAUUGACUUCGGAAGAAAUUAUAUUACGAUAAUACUAUUGAAAAGCCCGAGUGUACCGAUUGUUGUUUAAAGCUAUUUAUAUUUUUCUGUGACGACAUUCAAGUCGUGGAAAACACCAGACAGCAUGGCUUCCAUGACCGCAGAGGAAAAUAACAGCACAUCAAACUUUGGUAAGAUAUAAUCAUGAUAUAACAACACAAACUGUUACAUAAAUUUUAAUACAACCUGAAACACCGAGUAGUUAUAUUCUUUCAUGCAUGUCCGUGCUACGCAAGCAAGUUAAUAAUAUAUAUAAUAAAUGGCAAUUUUUGUAUUGACUGGGACCACUCGAACAGUCGUGUGUACGCUAUAAAUACAUUUUGUGGUUGAUUUGUGGUAUUAUCUUUAACUUUAUAAAUACUUUAUUGAAAAGUGCUAUGAAAUAUGAACUUCAUCCAGGAUAAGUUUGUUGUAUCUGUCUGCAUUGUAUAAUGGAGUUCGCAUUUUGAUAUGUGUAAAAAAAAAAGGGGGGGAAUGAUGCGCAAUGUUGUACACAUUUAAAAGAGGGAACGCAAUCCAAAACCAUUAGCAGAAGAAAACCAAAACAAGUAUAUCUAGAAGAUGCCAAUUUGAACAUACACCAAACGGGUGAAAAUGAUUUGUGCUCGAUUUUUUUAAAACAAAUGCAUUUAGCUUAUACAAACAUAGAAGAAGUGGGACACGUUGUUAUAAAAAGUAAUUUAAAUAUACUGUUAGUAAACAAAGUCUGGACUGGUCAACUGGACAAUACUUUUUUUGCACUUUUAAAAGGCAUUUUUUCCACACUAAAAAAAAAAUCAUAAAAGAAUACAUGCAACAUGUGCAAUGUUGUCGGUGAAUAUAUACCAAUUGGCUUUCUAAACCUUAAAAUAAAACCAUGGCAUGAGGAAAACACUGAAAAUUCGAUUUUAUGCAAAACAAUAGAUCCAGCAUCAAUGAAAGGAGGUCUCAAUGAGGCAACAACCGGUGACUGAUCCCAGUGAUAUACAUUACCAAAAGUAGACAUCAACAUAAUUAAGAGGACAUACUGUUGACUUAAACAAAAAUUGAGAAUAAAAGUACCAAAAGGUCAACAUUAUACAAAUAAGAAGAUGUGGUAUGAAUACCAAUGAAACAGUUAUCCACCCAAGUUCAAACAAGGUGGAUGUGAGCACUUAUAGGCAACUGUAUGGCCUUCAAUAAUGAUAAAAGUUCAUGCAUGAUUUUGAUAGAGAAUACAAACAGGGAAUGUGUCAAAGAGACAUCAACCCGACAAAAGAACAGGAAACAACCCAAUGCCACCAAUGGGUUGUGUCAUCAACACAGCGAGAUAAUCUUGCAUGCCGUAGCGGGAUUCAGCUUGCACCAAGACAUUUUAAAAUGUAUAUUUAUAUUAUGAUGUUUUUUCCAAACAUUUUGUUUUUCAUAUAUGCUAUGCUGGUGACCAAAAAUUAAUAUGAUUUUAACAUUUACUUUCUUUUGUAGACAAACCAAUGAAGAUUUCUGGACACAGAUAUUAUGUGUAAAA